AUGUAGGGCAAUCUGUCUUUUGGUAGGGGUAAAUUACUCUUAAUUAGAAAAAAAAAAAAAAAGAAAAGAAAUCCUAGAUAGUUUUCCCUUGAAGUCAAGCACCUCAU
rnacentral:pre_miRNA from 1 species